rnacentral:rRNA from 1 species
CCUACGGGGGGCAGCAGUCGAGAAUCAUUCACAAUGGGGGAAACCCUGAUGGUGCGACGCCGCGUGGGGGAAUGAAGGUCUUCGGAUUGUAAACCCCUGUCAUGUGGGAGCAAAUUAAAAAGAUAGUACCACAAGAGGAAGAGACGGCUAACUCUGUGCCAGCAGCCGCGGUAAUACAGAGGUCUCAAGCUGUGUUCGGAAUCACUGGGCGUAACGCGUGCGUAGGCUGUUUCGUAAGUCGUGUGUGAAAGGCGCGGGCUCAACCCGCGGACGGCACAUGAUACUGCGAGACUAGAGUAAUGGAGGGGUAACCGGAAGUCUCGGUGUAGCAGUGAAAUGCGUAGAUAUCGAGAGGAACACUCGUGGCGAAGGCGGGUUCCUGGACAUUAACUGACGCUGAGGCACGAAGGCCAGGGGAGCGAAAGGGAUUAGAUACCCCUGUAGUC